rnacentral:tRNA from 1 species
AGGAUAAUAGUUAAAUUAAUAACAUUUAAAUUGCAAUUAAAAAUUAUUUAAAUAAUUUAUCUUA